GCUGGUAUAGCUCAGUGGUAGAAUGCGUGCCUGCUAAACACCUGGCUCUGGGUUCAAUCCCCAGUAUCAAAA
rnacentral:tRNA from 1 species